CCUACGGGUGGCAGCAGUGAGGAAUAUUGGUCAAUGGACGAGAGUCUGAACCAGCCAAGUAGCGUGAAGGAUGACUGCCCUAUGGGUUGUAAACUUCUUUUAUAAAGGAAUAAAACGAGGUACGCGUGCCUGUUUGCAUGUACUUUACGAAUAAGGAUCGGCUAACUCCGUGCCAGCAGCCGCGGUAAUACGGAGGAUUCGAGCGUUAUCCGGAUUUAUUGGGUUUAAAGGGAGCGUAGAUGGUCUGUUAAGUUAGAGGUGAAAGUUUGCGGCUCAACCGUGGAAUUGCAUUUGAUACUGGCAGGCUAGAGUGCAGUUGAGGUAGGCGGAAUUCGUGGUGUAGCGGUGAAAUGCUUAGAGAUCACGCAGAACCCCGAUUGCGAAGGCAGCUUACUAAGCUGUUACUGACAUUGAUGCACGAAAGUGUGGGUAGCAAACAGGAUUAGAUACCCUAGUAGUC
rnacentral:rRNA from 1 species